AUAUUGUUGCAGUUAAAACGCCCGUAGUCUGAAUUGGCCAGCAAUGGUCGUAUGUAUUUAUACGUUCACUGUGAACAAAUCAGGACGCUUAGAGUAUGGUUUCAUGAAUGACUCAGCGCAGUAUGAAGUCUUUGUUUUCUUCCGAAAACAAGCUCAAUGAGAGCCAUCGGGGGUAGAUCUAUCUCAUGACGAGUGGUGGAAUACUUUGACUCAUGAGAGAGAAUCUGAGGCGAAGGCGUCUACCUAGAGGGUUUCUGUCGAUCAAGGGCGAGAGUAGGAGUAUCCAACAGGAUUAGAGACCCUGGUAGUUCCUACCUUAAACGAUGCCGACAGGAGUUUGUCACUUGUUAGUGGCAGAAUCUUUGGAGAAAUCAUAGUUCUUGGGCUCUGGGGGAACUACGACCGCAAGGCUGAAACUUGAAGGAAUUGACGGAAGGGCACACCAGGGGUGGAGCCUGUGGCUUAAUUUGAAUCAACACGGGGAAACUUACCAGGACCAGAUGUUUUUUAUGACUGACAGGCUUUGGGUCUUUCAGGAUAUUGCUUUUGGUGGUGCAUGGCCGUUGGUGGUGCGUGGGUUGACCUGUCUAGCGUUGAUUCAGCUAACGAGCGAGAUUAUCGCCAAUUAUCUACUUCGUCUAAGUCUUUAGAUGGAAGUUCUAAUUGGGACUCCCUGCGAUUUUAGCAGGUGGAAGAGGGUAGCAAUAACAGGUCCGUGAUGCCCUUUAGAUGCUCUGGGCUGCACGCGUGCUACAAUGUUAGGAUCAAUAGGACUGCAAAGCCGAGAGGCCGCGCUACUCUUAUAAUCCCUAACGUAGUUGGGAUUGACGUUUGUAAUCAGCGUCAUGAACCAGGAAUCCCUUGUAAAUGUGUGUCAACAACGCACGUUGAAUACGUCCCUGCCCUUUGUACACACCGCCCGUCGCUCCUACCGAUUGGAUGACUCGGUGAAAUCACCGGAUGCUUACGAGCAGAAAGUGAUUAAAUCACGUUAUCUAGAGGAAGGA
rnacentral:rRNA from 1 species